GACGAACGCUGGCGGCGUGCCUAAUACCUGCAAGUAGAACGCAGUUGAGAACGGGUGAGUAACGCGUAGGUAACUGACUCAUAGCGGGGGCUAAAUAAUGGAAACGAUAGCUAAUACCGCAAUCAGUGUGAUGGACCUGAGUUGUAUUAGCUAGUGGGUGAGGUAACAGCUCACCAAGGCGACGAUACAUAGCAGACCUGAGAGGGUGAGCGGCCACACUGGUACUGAGACAUGGCCAAGACUCCUACGGUAGUCAGCAGUAGGGAAUCUUCGGCAAUGGACGGAAGUCUGACGGAGCAACGCUGCGUGAGUGAUGAAGGUUUUCGGAUCGUAAAGCUCGGUUGUUAGAGAAGUGGUAACUAACCAGAAAGGGACGGCGAACUACGUGCCAGCAGCCGCGGUAAUUC
rnacentral:rRNA from 1 species